rnacentral:rRNA from 1 species
GACGAACGCUGGCGGCGUGCCUAAUACAUGCAAGUCGAACGCUUCUUUCCUCCCGAGUGCUUGCACUCAAUUGGAAAGAGGAGUGGCGGACGGGUGAGUAACACGUGGGUAACCUACCCAUCAGAGGGGGAUAACACUUGGAAACAGGUGCUAAUACCGCAUAACAGUUUAUGCCGCAUGGCAUAAGAGUGAAAGGCGCUUUCGGGUGUCGCUGAUGGAUGGACCCGCGGUGCAUUAGCUAGUUGGUGAGGUAACGGCUCACCAAGGCCACGAUGCAUAGCCGACCUGAGAGGGUGAUCGGCCACACUGGGACUGAGACACGGCCCAGACUCCUACGGGAGGCAGCAGUAGGGAAUCUUCGGCAAUGGACGAAAGUCUGACCGAGCAACGCCGCGUGAGUGAAGAAGGUUUUCGGAUCGUAAAACUCAGUUGUUAGAGAAGAACAAGGACGUUAGUAACUGAACGUCCCCUGACGGUAUCUAACCAGAAAGCCACGGCUAACUACGUG